UUGAAGGUGAUUUUCAUCAAUUUUGGGAAGGUUGUUUUUAUUUUACUGGUUAAACAAUCAACAUACUGCAGGAUAAGCAGUCCAGAAUGAAUUAUAGCCACAACGUUCAGAACCGAUACGAAAUUCGCGGCCAAUUCAUAAAAGAAAACAACUUUUGAAAUUAAACCCUGAGCCUUGACCU